AUAGCGUAUAUUAAAGUUGUUGCGGUUAAAAAGCUCGUAGUCGAAUCUGUGUCCCGCGCCGUCGGUUCAUCGCUCGCGGUGCUAACUGACGUGUCGUGGGACGUCCUGCCGGUGGGCUUAGCUCGUUCACGGGCGGCCCAACUUGAAAUCCCACCGCGGUGCUCUUCAUUGAGUGUCGAGGUGGGCCGGCACGUUUACUUUGAACAAAUUAGAGUGCUUAAAGCAGGCUAAAAUUUCGCCUGAAUAUUCUGUGCAUGGAAUAAUGGAAUAGGACCUCGGUUCUAUUUUGUUGGUUUUCGGAACCCCGAGGUAAUGAUUAAUAGGAACGGAUGGGGGCAUUCGUAUUGCGACGUUAGAGGUGAAAUUCUUGGAUCGUCGCAAGACGGACAGAAGCGAAAGCAUUUGCCAAAAACGCUUUCAUUGAUCAAGAACGAAAGUUAGAGGUUCGAAGGCGAUCAGAUACCGCCCUAGUUCUAACCAUAAACGAUGCCAGCUAGCGAUCCGCCGACGUUCCUCCGAUGACUCGGCGGGCAGCUUCCGGGAAACCAAAGCUUUUGGGUUCCGGGGGAAGUAUGGUUGCAAAGCUGAAACUUAAAGGAAUUGACGGAAGGGCACCACCAGGAGUGGAGCCUGCGGCUUAAUUUGACUCAACACGGGAAACCUCACCAGGCCCGGACACCGGAAGGAUUGACAGAUUGAGAGCUCUUUCUUGAUUCGGUGGGUGGUGGUGCAUGGCCGUUCUUAGUUGGUGGAGCGAUUUGUCUGGUUAAUUCCGAUAACGAACGAGACUCUAGCCUGCUAACUAGGCGUAUUUUCGACAUCCUAAAGGCCCGCCGGCCCGGCGUUCGCGUCGUGGUCGUGCGCGGUUUUUACUGUCGGCGUACAAACAAUUCUUCUUAGAGGGACAGGCGGCUUCUAGCCGCACGAGAUUGAGCAAUAACAGGUCUGUGAUGCCCUUAGAUGUUCUGGGCCGCACGCGCGCUACACUGAAGGAAUCAGCGUGUCCUCCCUGGCCGAGAGGCCCGGGUAACCCGCUGAACCUCCUUCGUGCUAGGGAUUGGGGCUUGCAAUUGUUCCCCAUGAACGAGGAAUUCCCAGUAAGCGCGAGUCAUAAGCUCGCGUUGAUUACGUCCCUGCCCUUUGUACACACCGCCCGUCGCUACUACCGAUUGAAUGAUUUAGUGAGGUCUUCGGACCGGUACGCGGCGGCGCUCCCGCGUCGCCGAU
rnacentral:rRNA from 1 species